rnacentral:rRNA from 1 species
UACGUAGGGUGCAAGCGUUGUCCGGAAUUAUUGGGCGUAAAGAGCUCGUAGGCGGUCUGUCGCGUCGGCUGUGAAAACCCGGGGCUCAACCCCGGGCCUGCAGUCGAUACGGGCAGACUAGAGUGCGGUAGGGGAGACUGGAAUUCCUGGUGUAGCGGUGAAAUGCGCAGAUAUCAGGAGGAACACCGGUGGCGAAGGCAGCUCACUGGGACGGUACUGACGCUGAGACGCGAAAGCGUGGGGAGCAAACAGG